CACGUGAAUACAUGCUUGCUUCCCCUUUGCCCGUCCACCAUGAUUGUAAGUUUCCUGAGGCCUCCCCAAUCAUGCUUCCUGUCCAGCCUGCAGAAAUGACAUGUGGACUGGUGCUCCAGCAGCCAUCUUGGACCAUGAAGUGACCUUGGGAAUGAAAGCUAAGGAUAAUGGAGCAAAAAUAUUGAAGCCUGGGUUCCUGAAGGUACCAGAGAGCUGCCAUGCCACCCCUGGACGGCCUGCUUCCCAAAUUUCUUUUCUUUAAGACAGAAAUAAACUUUAAUCUUAUUA